GUUUGCAGAAAUUGGUGAAUCUGAAAAAAAAUUUGUUGCAAGGAGGAACAUGGCAAUGCUUUAAAACACGAGCAGAUCUGGAAAAUAUGGACGGCCUCUGCCUCUUCAACUUUACUCCAAACAAGAAGGACCUUAGGGGAAUUUUGGAUCGAGGCCUUGCUGGUUGUUUUUUCAGCCCAAGUUCUUCGUCCAGGCAUUCAACACUGGUUCAUUCUCUUUGGACCUUGACAAUCUUGUUAUCACAUCGAGAAUAUUAGAUAGAGAUGAUAACCUGUUCUCUUAUCGAUUUCCUGGAGUGCCUCGGACUUUUUCAAACCUGAUCUUGGACGAGCAGCAGCAAUUUCAUCAUCAACAUUGAACUUUAUUAGCC